rnacentral:rRNA from 1 species
UGGGGAAUUUUGGACAAUGGGCGAAAGCCUGAUCCAGCAAUGCCGCGUGUGUGAAGAAGGCCUUCGGGUUGUAAAGCACUUUUGUCCGGAAAGAAAUCCUUGGCUCUAAUACAGUCGGGGGAUGACGGUACCGGAAGAAUAAGCACCGGCUAACUACGUGCCAGCAGCCGCGGUAAUACGUAGGGUGCAAGCGUUAAUUGGAAUUACUGGGCGUAAAGCGUGCGCAGGCGGUUUGCUAAGACCGAUGUGAAAUCCCCGGGCUCAACCUGGGAACUGCAUUGGCGACUGGCAGGCUAGAGUAUGGCAGAGGGGGGUAGAAUUCCACGUGUAGCAGUGAAAUGCGUAGAGAUGUGGAGGAAUACCGAUGGCGAAGGCAGCCCCCUGGGCCAAUACUGACGCUCAUGCACGAAAGCGUGGGGAGCAAACAGGAUUAGAUACCCCUGGUAGUCCACGCCCUAAACGAUGUCAACUAGUUGUUGGGGAUUCAUUUCCUUAGUAACGUAGCUAACGCGUGAAGUUGACCGCCUGGGGAGUACGGUCGCAAGAUUAAAACUCAAA